UGGUAGAUGCACCCUGAUAACUCACUCCCCUAGUUGGUUUAUACCACUGGGGGAUUUUUGU
rnacentral:sRNA from 1 species